rnacentral:tRNA from 1 species
AGCGGAGUGGUAGCAGUUGGUAGCUCACUUGGUUCAUACCCAAGAGGUCGAAGGUUCGAGCCCUUCCUCCGCAA